rnacentral:lncRNA from 10 species
UUUAAGUAACUGACUUCGGGCCCUCUGGGAAUCCUGUCGGGGAGGAGAGCCAAGGUGGACAGAACUCUAAUGGCAGCAUGGAAGACGGCCAGACUUGAAGCCACGCAGAUCUGCGCUGGAAUCCCAGCUUGGGCACUUAAGGCUCUUAAAUGCUGCUAGGCCUCCAUUUCUUCAUCUAUACAUUGGCAAUGACAUACCUAUCUGGCAAGUAGCUGGGAGACCCAAAUGAGAUGAUGUGAGGGAAACAGCCCAGGUCAGAUUCCAGCACAUAGCAGACAUCCAAGAAAUGUCUCCCUCUUUUCCUCUCCCACAUCCUCAGGAAAGGGGUUCAGGGCUGCCACCAGGGAGCCUGGCCUGCAGAGAGCUUUGGUAACUCUCUGAGGAAGCACAGUUAGAUUCAUUUCGGCCUGUCUCAAAUAUUUGCAGGGCCCAGGCAAGAGUACAAACAGAGGCCUACGCACUACCUGCCCAGAUAGUUACAUUAUAAAUAGAGCUAACAGACUUAUAAAAUAGGUUCCAUUUCAUAAUGAAACUAUACAUUUUCAUAACGACCUAAAGGGUCAUGUUUAAAUUUAGAAUUCUCAGACUCCUUCGAGAACUCUCAGACUCUCCCCUCAGCUCCCCUUCUCUACUCCCCAGCCUGGAUACCUAAGCGUCAUCUACAGCCACCAUAAACAGCCAGGACGUGGUCAUCAACAGAGUCUAGGGGUGCAUACCAAGCUGUGCAGUCUACCCUGUGGAGGAUUUUCCCUGGGAAGAGGCCCAUGCAAGCCUGAAAGUGGCUGAGGACUCUUUGGGCCGGGAAUACUGGGUCCUGAGACCUGGAGUGUGACAUAGAAGGGGGGACAUGGACCAGUCCUUCACCUGACAAGGGUACCGUCUGAGGAAGGCCAGAGAAAGACCUCUAAGGUGUGGGUUCCUCCACCUGAAUCUGAGGGCAGGCUGCAUUUGUUCAGGUGCUAUUUACCUAUCACUCUAAACAGGAAUUCAUGCAGUGAGCCGGAGCCACAAUAGUGAGCUCAUCCAUCUUCCUGAGUUAAGCCCUAAAUCUGACAUUGAAAAGAAAUUAUACUUUUGAUCAUUUCAAUUUGUUUUCAAUAAUCUUUAUCUUUCUUCACCCCCAGGACAGGAGCCAAGGAGGGGGAGAUUCCAACAUGCAUACAUUGGUAUUUACACACAGACUCUCUUCUGCUCCAUUUUUGUUCUUUGCUUAGAAAGUCUUUGUUCCAAAAACUACAGACAGAAACCAGUUCAGUGGUUGUGAGGAGCUGAGGGUAGAGGAAGGGGUUGGCUACAAAGACACGUGAGGGAACAGUGGUGUGUGAUGAAACUAUUAUAUACCGUAUGUUGUUGGUGGUAGUACAUAAUUGUAUGAAUUUAUUUUUUAAAAAAUUCUAGACCUGUACGCUAGAAUGGGUAAUUUUUACUGCGUGUAAAAUUAUACCUCAAAAAACUAUGUAAUAAAAACUCUUU